rnacentral:rRNA from 1 species
AUUGAACGCUGGCGGCAUGCUUUACACAUGCAAGUCGAACGAGUGGCGGACGGGUGAGUAAUGUCUGGGAAAGUGCCUGAUGGAGGGGGAUAACUACUGGAAACGGUAGCUAAUACCGCAUACCAUCGGAUGUGCCCAGAUGGGAUUAGCUUGUUGGUGGGGUAAAGGCUCACCAAGGCAACGAUCCCUAGCUGGUCUGAGAGGAUGACCAGCCACACUGGGACUGAGACACGGCCCAGACUCCUACGGGAGGCAGCAGUGGGGAAUAUUGGACAAUGGGCGAAAGCCUGAUGCAGCCAUCCCGCGUGUAUGAAGAAGGCCUUCGGGUUGUAAAGUACUUUCGGCGGGGAGGCGUUACCUGCAGAAGAAGCACCGGCUAACUACGUGCCAGCAGCCGCGGUAAUAC